rnacentral:rRNA from 1 species
GAUGAACGCUGGCGGCGUGCUUAACACAUGCAAGUCGAACGGUGAAGGCGGAGCUUGCUCUGCUGGAUCAGUGGCGAACGGGUGAGUAACACGUGAGCAAUCUGCCCCUGACUCUGGGAUAAGCGCUGGAAACGGCGUCUAAUACUGGAUACGAGCUGCGAAGGCAUCUUCAGCAGCUGGAAAGAAUUUCGGUCAGGGAUGAGCUCGCGGCCUAUCAGCUUGUUGGUGAGGUAAUGGCUCACCAAGGCGUCGACGGGUAGCCGGCCUGAGAGGGUGACCGGCCACACUGGGACUGAGACACGGCCCAGACUCCUACGGGAGGCAGCAGUGGGGAAUAUUGCACAAUGGGCGAAAGCCUGAUGCAGCAACGCCGCGUGAGGGACGACGGCCUUCGGGUUGUAAACCUCUUUUGGCAGGGAAGAAGCGAAAGUGACGGUACCUGCAGAAAAAGCGCCGGCUAACUACGUG